rnacentral:lncRNA from 1 species
UAUGCUGGUUAGAAUCUCUGUUUUAAUUUGGUUUUAUGCUUUUAAUUCUUUUGUUUUUUAUGAUUGUACAAUGUUUUUUUCUCCCUACAGCACUUUGGGCCUCCUUGGCUGAUGGUGGAAUUGGAAAUAAAUGAAUUGCUUGAAUCAAUUUUGUUUCUGUUCACCUCUUUUCUUGGCCUAGUUUGUACAUUUCCAACAUUUUAUAAGAAAAAUUAGACUUCCGUUUUUUUUGCUGACUUGUCUAAUAUCCUCUUUGUUUGCUCGGUCCCUCACAGUUCCAUGAAAGGUCUUCUCGUUUUGCCAAAUUGUGGUUUUUAUUUUGCAAUACGUAUUUUUUUCUGGAAUUUCAUUUUUAUGUAUCAUUAAAAAGCAUCUUUUGAGAAGCAAAAACAAAUCCCCUUACUGAUGUUUGAACAUGUUUAUUAAGUUCACGGUUUACCAUAUUAAACUUUUUCAGAAUUUUAAAAAAAUGUUUGUGCUGAACUCAUCGUUGAGGGUUUUUAUAUGUCACAGUUUUUGAAAACAGAGAUGACGCAACGAUUUCUAUACCUGUUUUUAGGAACUAAGGCAAUAUUUACAGAAAAUAAAGCUAUUAAUUGCUGAAUUUUGUACUUUUUGCCCACCCUGGGAACAUUAGUCCCAUAUCAUGCUGGGAGUUUGCCUUGUAGUUUGUUGUUAUACUUUGACUGGGGGUUAUUUUUUGUGACCAAAAAGGAAUUAUAUAAAAUAAAAGCUUUUGAGAAACUUCUUGUUUUGAGCGGUAACCCCCCUCACCAGACUCCUCCUCCUCCUCAUGUGGUUUGGGUUGAUGUGAAACGUGUACCUCUUGUCAUUAUGCAAACUUGUGUUUAGCAGAACAGCGUCAGUACGGCAGGAAGCAGAAGACAGACGUUCGAUAUGUGGGUCAUUUUUGUUCUUUUCACGUCCGCUUGCUUCUCUUUGUCCCAACCUGCUAAUUGGUGUGAAUCGGUUCUUAGUGAUUGUCUAAAAAAUUAUCCCUCAAAUUGGACCAGGUGUGUUUUCCAGCAUUUUCUCAUUUGAUGUUGAGUUUUGUACUUAAUAUGUAUGAUAUGUAUUACAUAAUCCAGGCUACUUUUACUAUCUGAAAUAGCGACAAUGAAAUACAUUUUCAUAUGAUUUUAAAAUCCCAGCAUG